GACGAACGCUGGCGGCGUGCUUAACACAUGCAAGUCGAACGAAGUGGCGCACGGGUGAGUAACGCGUAAUCAACCUGCCCUUCAGAGGGGGACAACAGUUGGAAACGAAUGCUAAUACCGCAUACUGAGGGAGGGGAUUGCGUCUGAUUAGCUGGUUGGAGGGGUAACGACCCACCAAGGCGAGGAUAAGUAGCCGGUCUGAGAGGAUGAACGGCCAAAUUGGGACCGAGACACGGCCCAGACUCCUAAGGGAGGCAGCAGUGGGGAAUCUUCCGAAAUGGAGGAAAGUCUGACGGAGCAACGCCGAGUGAGUGAUGACGGCCUUCGGGUUGUAAAGCUCUGUUAAUCGGGACGCGGUACCGGAAGAGAAAGCCACGGCUAACUACGUGCCAGCAGCCGCGGUAAUUC
rnacentral:rRNA from 1 species